GAAACGACUGCUAAGACUGGAUAGGAGAUAAGAAGGCAUCUUUUUAUUUUUAAAAGACCUUUUUCGAAAGGUAUACUUAAAGAGGGGCUUGCGGCACAUUAGUUAGUUGGUAGGGUAAAAGCCUACCAAGACUAUGAUGUGUAGCUGGACUGAGAGGUUGAACAGCCACAUUGGGACUGAGACACGGCCCAAACUCCUACGGGAGGCAGCAGUAGGGAAUUUUCGGCAAUGGAGGAAACUCUGACCGAGCAACGCCGCGUGAACGAUGAAGUAUUUCGGUAUGUAAAGUUCUUUUAUUGAAGAAGAAAAAAUAGUGGAAAAACUAUCUUGACGAUAUUCAAUGAAUAAGCCCCGGCAAACUAUGUGCCAGCAGCCGCGGUAAUACAUAGGGGGCGAGCGUUAUCCGGAAUUAUUGGGCGUAAAGGGUGCGUAGGCGGUUUGGUAAGUCUAUAGUUUAAUUUCAGUGCUUAACACUGUUUUGCUAUAGAAACUAUCAGACUAGAGUGAGAUAGAGGCAAGUGGAAUUCCAUGUGUAGCGGUAAAAUGCGUAAAUAUAUGGAGGAACACCAGAGGCGUAGGCGGCUUGCUGGGUCUUUACUGACGCUGAGGCACGAAAGCGUGGGGAGCAAACAGGAUUAGAUACCUUGGUAGUCCACGCCGUAAACGAUGAGUACUAAGUGUCGGGGAAACUCGGUACUGAAGUUAACACAUUAAGUACUCCGCCUGAGUAGUACGUACGCAAGUAUGAAACUUAAAGGAAUUGACGGGACUCCGCACAAGCGGUGGAUCAUGUUGUUUAAUUCGAAGAUACACGAAAAACCUUACCAGGUCUUGACAUACUCUGCAAAGCUAUAGCAAUAUAGUGGAGGUUAUCAGGGAUACAGGUGGUGCAUGGUUGUCGUCAGCUCGUGUCGUGAGAUGUUAGGUUAAGUCCUAAAACGAGCGCAACCCUUGUCACUAGUUGCCAGCAUGUUAUGAUGGGCACUUUAGUGAGACUGCCAAUGAAAAAUUGGAGGAAGGUGAGGAUCACGUCAAAUCAUCAUGCCCCUUAUGAUCUGGGCUACAAACGUGAUACAAUGGCUGUUACAAAGAGUAGCUAAAACGCGAGUUUAUAGCCAAUCUCAUAAAAGCAGUCUCAGUUCGGAUUGAAGUCUGCAACUCGACUUCAAGAAGUUGGAAUCGCUAGUAAUCGCGAAUCAGCAUGUCGCGGUGAAUACGUUCUCGGGGUUUGUACACACCGCCCGUCA
rnacentral:rRNA from 1 species